CAGGGCUGGUCCCCGCAGGGUCAGGAGGGAGCCCAUAAAUACACCUGCUGGGGGAAAGCAGAGACUGGCAGAGGGGAUUUGCUGAGGGUCGCACAGGGCUUGGUGUCUCUGUGCAAGGUUGGCUGAAGUCAGUUGCUGGCUGCUGGAUUCAGAGCCCCUGCCUCAAAGGAAGAACGCUUCCCGCCUUCCCUCACUGUCCAGUUUCAUGUUGCUUUCCUCCGUGGGAGUUACUGUACCCAGAGCUGUAGAAAGGAAUUUCAGCUUUACACAGAGGUUUCCUUGCUGCUCACCACAGGGAACAGGCCCGUGCAGACAAGGUUAUGUUACAGGUGGGGAUGGAGCUGGUCUCGUCUGCUGCUGUCCUCCUCCUGACGCUUUCUACAUCUGGACCGAGGGCUCACAAAGUAAUUGUCUCAAGGCCUGGGAUUAAACUGGGGGUAUGUCAAGAAAUGUCUCACCCCUUAUUCUGGUUCCUGUGACGAGCCCUCCCCCCAGGAGCUCUGCUUUGUUAGGAGAUGAGGCAGCCGCUCUGCGGAAGAUGUGUUUUCCUGGGCAGCUUGCAGCACUUUAAUUAAAAGGACACGAAGGGCAAUGGCAGUGCAGAUAAACAGGGGCUCUCUGGGGUCUGGAAGCAGAUCGCUCUAAUGCCUCGAAUCACAGGAACUGAAGCUUAUUGCUGAUUACAGCUGGGCAGCAAAACAAAUCAGCAGAACACAAACAGGAGCAGCGCAAAGGAUGGCUGCUGUGCCUCUUCCCUGUGCCCAGAUCCAACGAGCAGACACUGGCUCAAAACUACAUGCCUUGCAGUGAUUAUUUUUGUUCCUGUCUUGCACGGUGUUUGAUAAGUUGCAUCUUACCGAACAAGCUGUCUUCUUUUACAGAUGGAGUGUGCAGAGCCUUUGCUCUGAAGGCUGCGUGCUGCCUGUUACCACUGGAGGGGCAGCAGAUACUACAACCAUGCCUUGUGUUGCUGAUGUUCCUACCGCACAGCUCUGACAGGUUGAGUUCAUGUUUAGAUCAGCUUUUUCUCUGUCUUGGGUUAACUUGCAGUGAUGGAAGCAGAAGAGGAAUAAAUUAUUUUACCCCAAGGUCCCUGCUAAGCUCUCCCAAGGUCAU